rnacentral:rRNA from 1 species
UGGGGAAUUUUGGACAAUGGGCGCAAGCCUGAUCCAGCCAUUCCGCGUGAGUGAAGAAGGCCUUCGGGUUGUAAAGCUCUUUCGCAAGGGAAGAAAACUUAGUCUCUAAUAUAGACUGAGGCUGACGGUACCUUGAUAAGAAGCACCGGCUAACUACGUGCCAGCAGCCGCGGUAAUACGUAGGGUGCGAGCGUUAAUCGGAAUUACUGGGCGUAAAGCGUGCGCAGGCGGCCUGAUAAGUCAGAUGUGAAAUCCCCGAGCUCAACUUGGGAACUGCGUUUGAAACUAUCAAGCUAGAAUAUGUCAGAGGGGGGUAGAAUUCCACGUGUAGCAGUGAAAUGCGUAGAGAUGUGGAGGAAUACCAAUGGCGAAGGCAGCCCCCUGGGAUAAUAUUGACGCU